rnacentral:rRNA from 1 species
UACAGAGGGGGCAAGCGUUGUUCGGAAUUACUGGGCGUAAAGGGCGCGUAGGCGGCCGCCUAAGUCAGACGUGAAAUCCCUCGGCUUAACCGGGGAACUGCGUCUGAUACUGGAUGGCUUGAGUUUGGGAGAGGGAUGCGGAAUUCCAGGUGUAGCGGUGAAAUGCGUAGAUAUCUGGAGGAACACCGGUGGCGAAGGCGGCAUCCUGGACCAACACUGACGCUGAGGAGCGAAAGCCAGGGGAGCAAACGGG